GAAGUGGCUGCAUCCCAGGAGUAGAGCAUCUGCUUUGAAUGCAGAAGGCUUCGGGUUCAAUUCCCGGCAUCUCCA